AUGGAUGGUUUCUCGGGGUAUAACCAAAUCAAGAAAGAUAUGACCAAAACCACUUUCACUACCGAAUGGAGAAUCUAUUGUUACACAGUGAUGCUGUUUGGCCUCAAGAAUGCCAUGGUAACCUGCCAAAGGAUGGCUACGGCCUUGUUAAAUGAUAUGAUGCAUAAUGAGGUGGAGGUGUAUGUCGAUGAUAUGAUAGAGAAAUCCAAAGAUAGAGAAAGCCACCCUAUAAACUUGAGGAAGUUCUUUAAAAGGAUUAAAGAGUAUAGACUAAAAUUUAACCCACAAAAGUGUACCUUUGGAGUAACCGCCGGAAAAUUGCUAGGCUUCCUAGCGAGUGAUAGAGGGAUAGAAGUUGACCCAUCUAGGAUCAAAUCCAUAUUGGAGAUGCCUCCACCUAGAAUUGAGAAAGAGAUAAAGGGUUUCUUGGGUCGAUUACAAUACAUUACUCGAUUCAUUACCAAACUCACCUCCACUUGUGAACCUAUCUUUAAACUCCUAAGGAAGAAUGAACCACAUGCAUGGAAUGAUGAGUACCAAAAGGCCUUUAAACUUAUCAAGGAAUAUCUCUUCCACCCACCUAUAUUAGUGCCUCCCCAACAGGGAAAACCCUUACUCCUAUACCCCUCUAUCAUAAGGGAUGUGGUUGGAAGUAUGCUUGCACAAGAAGAUGAUGACAAAAAUGAGGGGGCCAUAUACUACUUGAGCAAGAGGUUCCAUGAUUACGAGACUAGGUGCACUCCCGUUGAAAAGUCAUGCUUUGCACUUGAUUAGGUCAUACAAAAGUUAAGACAUAUCAUCCUACCUUUCCAAAUAUGGGUGGUAGCAAGAAUGGACCCAUUGAAGUAUCUCUUUGAAAAGCCUACGGGAUGAACCGGAAGCUGGGUUAUGAUGCCCAACUAUGUGCUAACCUAGAACCCACAAAGGGUGUUCGUUGAUUAAGACAGCAGGACGAUGGUCAUGGAAGUCGAAAUAUACUAAGGAGUGUGCAACAACUCACCUACCGAAUCAACUAGCCCCAAGAAUGGAUGGCACUGAAGUGCGCAACCUAUAUGCGCUCGUCAGGGCAAGUUCCAAGCCCCGAUGAGUAGGAGGGCACGACAAUCGCUGCAAAACUUAGGGCGCAAGCUUGGGCAGAGCGGCCAUCAGUGCAAAUCUUGGUAGUAGUUGCAAAUAUUAAAAUGAGAACAUUGAAGGCCGAAAAGGGGAAAGGUUUCAUGUGAACGACACUUGCAUAUGGGUUAGUCGAUCUUAAGAGACCAGGGAAGCCCAUUUGAUAGCGUGCUAAGCUCGGGCUUCGAAAGGGAAUUGAGUUAAAAUUCUUGAACCGAGAUGUGGCAGUUGACAAAAACAUUAGAGAGUCCGGAGACAUCGGCGGGGGCCUCAAGAAGAGUUAUCUUUUCUAUUUAACAACCUGCUCACCCUAGAAACGACUCAGCCAGAGGUAGGGUCCAGCGGCUAGAAGAGCACCACAUGUUGCAUGGUGUUCAGUGCGCUCCCGAUAGACCAAGUGCCUCCCACGUCCAUUCGUACUCAUAACCGCAUCAAGUCACCAAGGUAAACAACCUCUAGUCGAUGGAAAAAUGUAGGCAAGGAAAUUUGACAAAAUGGAUCUGUAACCUUAGGAAAAGGAUUGGCUCUGAGAGCUGGGCACGGGGGUCCUAGUCUUGAACCCAUCGGUUGUUAGCAAAUUGCUCGAGCUGCUCCCGCGUGCCGACCAGGGGAUAGACUAGGAACGACCGCCUCGGCAGUCUUCCUCUAGCUUUGAACUGUCGACUCAGAACAGGUACAGACAAUGCAUUGCAAUUGUCCCUACAAAUGCUCACGCAAUGUGAUUUCUACCCAGUGCUCUGAAUGUCAAAGUGAAGAAAUUCAACCAAGUGCGAGUAAAUGGCAGGAGUAACUAUGACUCUCUUAUGGAAACCAAAUGCCUUACCAUCUAACUAGUGAUGCGCAUGAAUGGAUUAACAAGAUUCCCACUAUCCCUAUCUACUAUCCAGCGAAACCAUAGCUAAGGGAACGAGCUUGGCAAAAUUAGUGGGGAAAGAAGACCCUAUUGAGCUUGACUUUAGUUCGACUUUGUGAAAUGACUUGAGAGGGCACGCAAAUGUCCUAAGAUGAGCUCAACGAGAAUAGAAAUCUUGUGUGGAACAAAAGGUUAAAAGCUUGUUUGAUUCUAAUCUUCAGUACGAAAAUGAACUGUGAAAGCGUGGCCUAUCGAUCCUUUAGACCUUCGGAAUUUAAAGCUAGAGGUUUCCAAAAAGUUACCACAGGGAUAACUGGCUUGUUGUAGCCAAGCAUUCAUAGCGACGUUGCUUUUUGAUCCUUUGAUGUCGGCUCUUCCUGUCAUUGUGAAGCAGAAUUCACCAAGUGUUGGAUUGUUCACCCACCAAUAGGGAACGUGAGCUAGGUUCAGAUCGUCAUGAGACAGGUUAUUUUUACCCUACUGAUGACAGUGUUCUGAUAGUAAUUGAACCUAGUACAAGAGGAAUUGUUGAUUCGCACAAUUGGUCAUCGUGCUUGGUUGAAAAGCCAGUGGCACGAAGCUACCAUGCACUGGAUUAUGACUGAGUGCCUCUAAGUCAGAAUCUGGGCUAGAAGCGACGCGUGCACCCACCGUCCAUUUGUCGACCUACAGUAGGUGCCCUCGGGCCCCUAGAGGCAAAUUUAUUUAGCUAAGCCCCCACGGCCGAGGAGCUGUGUGGGCCGCCUUGUAGUAUAAUUCCCACUAAGUGGCGGGUAGAAUCCUUUAUAGACGACAUAAAUAUGCGACAAGGUUUUAUAAGUGGUAAAGUGGCCUUGCUACCACGAUCCACUAAGAUUUAGCCCUGUCU
rnacentral:rRNA from 1 species